UACGUAGGUGGCAAGCGUUGUCCGGAUUUAUUGGGUUUAAAGGGUGCGUAGGCGGCUUUGUAAGUCAGUGGUGAAAUAUGGCAGCUCAACUGUCAAGGUGCCAUUGAUACUGCAGAGCUUGAGUACAGAUGAGGUAGGCGGAAUUGACGGUGUAGCGGUGAAAUGCUUAGAUAUCGUCAAGAACACCUAUAGCGAAGGCAGCUUACUAGGCUGUAACUGACGCUGAGGCACGAAAGUGUGGGGAGCGAACCGG
rnacentral:rRNA from 1 species